AGAUUGAACGCUGGCGGCAGGCCUAACACAUGCAAGUCGAGCGGUAGAGAGGUGCUUGCAUCUCUUGAGAGCGGCGGACGGGUGAGUAAUGCCUAGGAAUCUGCCUAGUGGUGGGGGAUAACGUUCGGAAACGGACGCUAAUACCGCAUACGUCCUACGGGAGAAAGCGGGGGACCUUCGGGCCUCGCGCCAUUAGAUGAGCCUAGGUCGGAUUAGCUAGUUGGUGAGGUAAUGGCUCACCAAGGCGACGAUCCGUAACUGGUCUGAGAGGAUGAUCAGUCACACUGGAACUGAGACACGGUCCAGACUCCUACGGGAGCAGCAGUGGGGAAUAUUGGACAAUGGGACGAAAGCCUGAUCCAGCCAUGCCGCGUGUG
rnacentral:rRNA from 1 species